rnacentral:lncRNA from 1 species
UCAGCCCUUGCCAGCAGUCAACACAGUAGUAAAUUCCAGCACCUGUGGACCUGUUUCGGUAAUUUAUGAUUUCCAUUAGAUUUCCGUUGGAGAUGGGCUGCAACAGUUCAGUCCUACAAAUGCUAGAAGACUGACAACAAGAGAAAGAUGAUCAACUUAAAAUGAAAAGCGCACUCUUGGUUCUAAAGACUUUUGUUCACAACACUCUUAUUACCAGUGAUGGCACAAUGGUAAGCAACUAUCUAAACAGGAUUUGUAAUGUUCAACAAAGGGCAAACAUGAAAAUGACAUUUGAGUACUUGUUACACUUUAUGAGAAAUUCUUAAUUUUUAUAAGGUUAUCAUCUCCACUUUUAAUUUAAAAACAUAAGAUGCAUUCAUGCCUAAGGUAUUGCUCAAUUAAGCUGAAGAUGUUCAUAAUGAAGUUGUUAAAGUAGCAACAGUGCAUUUUUCAAUUUACAAAGUAUUUUACUUCAAUUAAAGUUUUUCAAAUAGUAGAUAAUAAUUGUAAUUUAAAAAAGAAAACCUUUUUGAGAAUUACACACACACACACACACACACACACACACACACACACACAUCAGAUCAUCCUAAAAAGAUGUUAAUAAUGGCAAUUUAAGAGAUAGAAGCAUUCAUCCCUGAUAGAUCAAACCUGGCUCCAUAGUCAAGGUCCUUCCACAAAAUGUAUGAUUUGGGCCAAAUACUAUUAAACCUUUCCACUACCAUUUUUGCUAUUUUCCAGAUAUUCUCUUUCUCUUCCAAAGCUUUUACUUGUGUAAUGCUAGAUCACUUGUCAACUACUUUCCAUCACAGUUUCUAACACAGUAUCUGGGGAAAGAUACAAUCUUAUCAGUCCCACUGAAUAAGCAACUCUCCAUACCCAGGAGAGGAAGUUAAGGCCCAUAGCUGCUGCUCUCAGGCCCCUAUGACAGGGAAGAUACACUGGAUAUUGUUUCCCUAGACAUUCCCAACUAAAGUCCUUACCACAUUAGAGAGAGUACCUGGGCAAAAGGUCCAAGGUUAAUGCCUUUGAGAUUCUGGUGGUUGAAACAAAAUCAAACUGUUCACUUGAAUAGAGAAUUUUCCAUUUGUAUGUUUCUGACUCACAAAUUUCUCAAGAGGAAUCGGUAUACAGCAAUUCUCAGUAUUAUUUGACCUAAAACCCUUCUUAUUCCUAGCCAAAGAUAAUUAAUUUUAAGUUUUAAG